CAACAGAUAAAGAGAAGAGUAUAUAAACCUCCAUGAAUGAAUCACACAGAUUAAACAGUUAUCAACAUUUUUCUCAUUAUUGUUCCAUUUAACUCCCCUAGUCUUUUUAUAUCUAACUCCCCUACUUCUUUUCUUAAAGUAUCUUAAAGGAAAUCUAGACAUCAAGUCAUUUCACUUGUCAAUAUUUUUAUAUAUAUUUGAGUAAUAGUGAAUUUAUAAUCUAGUUGUGUAACAGUAUUAAAUCUAUCCAAUACCUCCUUCAUAUUCUUAUUUCUCUGAUUAUCUCAAAAAUUUCUCUUUGUGGCUGGCUUGCGCCAAGCAACAUCCUAACUAGGUUCAUAUAUUGCAUUUGGCUGCCAUGUCUUUUAAGGUUAUUUAUUCUGUAAUGCUGUAAUGAACCCUGUCUUUUUCUUUUAUUUGCCAUUGAUUUGUGGAAUUUUUGUUUGUUUGUUUCCAUAGAAUGUUCAUAUUCUGGAUUUAACUCAUUGCUUCCUGUUGGUAUCACAUAAUGCCUUCUCCCCCCCAGUUUUUCCUAUGUGUUGGUAGUUGUAGUGAAGACUCGAUUAGAUUUGUUCCCAUUGUGGCAGGCAAGACUAUGCAACAGUUGAUGCUAUGUAUACCCUCUUGCACCAUAUCGUAAGAUAUGUAAUACUAAUUGCCUACUUUUUGUGAUGUUAAGACAGAUCAGGGGCUUUCAGUGGUUUCAACCCAAUCCCUCCAUUAUAAAGCACUUCACACAAUAUAUUUUUCAUCUGAUAUAUUAAUACUCAUUGAUUUCAUCAAUUUCCAGAUUCACUACUUCAUUAGAGGUUGCAAAAUGUCAUCUUUCUGAUUUUAUCAUGCCUUCUGCGUUUAUUAAUUGGGAUUCCUCUACAAAGAAGAACUUUUCGUCAUUUACCUUUCAGGAACCACUGCAGAAGCAUACCAGGAAAACAGAAAGAAAUCACAGAUUUUUUGAAAAAAGCAGCAGGCCUCUGCAAAUUCCACAAGACAGAUGAAGAACUCUAAUCACAAAAGACAUAAACUCUUGAGAGCUUUAUGACCCCAG
rnacentral:lncRNA from 1 species